GACGAACGCUGGCGGCGUGUUUAACACAUGCAAGUCGAACGGAAAGGCCCUGCUUUUGUGGGGUGCUCGAGUGGCGAACGGGUGAGUAACACGUGAGUAACCUGCCCUUGACUUUGGGAUAACUUCAGGAAACUGGGGCUAAUACCGGAUAGGAGCUCCUGCUGCAUGGUGGGGGUUGGAAGGUUUCGGCGGUUGGGGAUGGACUCGCGGCUUAUCAGCUUGUUGGUGGGGUAGUGGCUUACCAAGGCUUUGACGGGUAGCCGGCCUGAGAGGGUGACCGGCCACAUUGGGACUGAGAUACGGCCCAGACUCCUACGGGAGGCAGCAGUGGGGAAUAUUGCACAAUGGGCGGAAGCCUGAUGCAGCAACGCCGCGUGCGGGAUGACGGCCUUCGGGUUGUAAACCGCUUUCGCCUGUGACGAAGCGUGAGUGACGGUAAUGGGUAAAGAAGCACCGGCUAACUACGUG
rnacentral:rRNA from 1 species